CCUACGGGAGACAGCAGUGGGGAAUAUUGCACAAUGGGGGAAACCCUGAUGCGGCAACGCCGCGGGGGUGAAGGAGCGUUUCGGCGCGUAAAGCCCUGUCAGCGGGGAAGAGGAAAGACGGUACCCGCCAAAGAAGCCCCGCCUAAAAACGGGCCAGCAGCGGCGGAAAUACGAAGGGGGCGGGCGUUAUCCGGAAUUACGGGGGGUAAAGGGGGCGUAGACGGCGAGGUAAGCCUGAAGUGGAAGCCCGCGGCCCAACCGCGGAACUGCUUUGGGAACUGUUUUGCUGGAGUAUGGGAGGGGUAAGCGGAAUUCCUGGUGUAGCGGUGAAAUGCGUAGAUAUCAGGAGGAACACCGGUGGCGAAGGCGGCUUACUGGACCAUAACUGACGUUGAGGCUCGAAAGCGUGGGGAGCGAACAGGAUUAGAUACCCGAGUAGUC
rnacentral:rRNA from 1 species